rnacentral:lncRNA from 1 species
GCCUCACUAGCCCAGGGAAAGGGAACCGAACGCGCCGUUGUCACCAGGCGCGUUGCUAAGGCGUCGGUUGGGGGCGGGGCUUGUGGAGGGCGAAGGACGCAGUUCAUGUGACCUCAUCCCGUAGAUAUUCGCUCAUUCGCGAUUUGGAAUUAAUGACAGAGCUCUCACCAAUAGAAAUCGCGGUGGUUGCUGCACUGAUCCUGCUUAGACAAGGAAACUGAGAAUCCUGCAGAAGUGAAAUAAAUUUCUCAAGAUCAUACAGAGAACUAGUGACUGGACUGGGAAGGCCAAGCCCAAGUCCCCUCAUUCUUCCUGUUCUAGUGUCCUUCUACACCUUGUUUCAACUUCUGGUUUAGAGGCAUAUAGUCACCCUGGUGCUUUUAGAUAAAUGUAUGUAGCUGAAAGUUACAAGCCCAAGUCAAUAUACAGAGAGAAAAUGUUGGUCAGGACCAGGAGCCAGCAAACUACAGCCCAUCACCUGUUUUCACAUAGCCCAUACAAAAAUAUGUGGAAAUAUAUGUAUGAAAUGAUUCCAAGGGAAAAAGAGAACCAGAAGACAGUGAAAAGGCCCAGAGAUGAAAGAUGGAGCAUCAUAUGUAAAGAAUGUCAAGAAGACCAGUCUACCUGGACUUUGGAGUGAGGAAGGGUGAAUAAAUGUAACACAGAAUUGGAAAGGUAGGUUGAG